rnacentral:lncRNA from 1 species
ACACCCCCAGCCGGGAGAAGCGCCCGAGCUCACACGGGCGGCGGAGAGAGGAGUGGACGCUGCAAAUCCUCCCCGACCCCCGCUGUUCUCGCCCGGAGGCCCAGGACGCUGCCAGGCGGGGCCCUUGGGGUUCGCACCCUGAGCCCCAGAGCAGCCGCGGGACCCCGACGGCGCGCGCACGCUGGCUCUGGCCUAGGUUUCACCUUACAAUCAAUAAAUAGAAAGCGCCACCUGCAAAGCAAGGGAGGGCUGGUCGUCCACCAAACUGCUUUCCGCUCCCCGCUUUGCAAGGCAUCCGCAGAAAGGGCGGGGUACUGGACCCAGGUCACAGAGCCGGAGCCAGACUCACUCGAGUAAUUGGCCAGCCCGGGCUCUGGGCUCAAAUCCAGCCUGCUGGCUGUUCCCUAGCUGAUGGGCCUUUCCAUCGGGGGUUCCCUUAUAUGUGAGAUUUAGAAAAUAAAUGAGUGUACCUAGCACUUUCACUAAUGCAUCUAUCCAUUACAACGGGCGGUGUGCGUGCAGUAACAACACCGAGACAAUCCUUGUCCCGCACUUAAAAAAAACUCUGGGCGCUCCAGUGUUUUUGUUUUUGAGACAGGGUCUUGCUCUGUUGCCCUGGCUGGGGUGCAGUGGUGCGAUCAUAGCUCACUGUAGCCUCUACCUCUCUGGCUCAAUCGAUCCUCUCACCCCAGCCUCCCGUGUAGCUGAGACCUCAAGUGCGCACCACCUCACUCAGCUAAUUUUUUAAAAUUUUUUGUAGAGGCGGGGGUCUAACUAUGUUGCCUACGCUGGUCUCGAACUCCUGGGCUCAAGCCAUCCUACCGCGUCAGCCUCCCAAAGUGCUCGGCCAGGCGCUCCAGUUUUUAUCCAGGCAUCUACACUGUAAGAUAGAUGUUGUUCUCCCUUGGUUGUAAGUGGGGAAGCCGAAGCUAGGCGGGCAGGGACUCUCACCCUCACGUACUCACACAAACACUGUCUGCACAGCCUCUUGGGCAGAGCUAGCGCUGGCACCAGUUUAGUUUGGUGCUGAAACCAUACCCCUCUUGCUCUGCAAGAGCCCAUCUCCCCUUAGAAUAUUCUUUCGGGUCCACAGCCCAAGACAAACCUUUGCCACAGGGGAACGCAGAGGAGGAAGCGGGGUGCGAGCACCAGAAUCAGCCCUGGCGUGUCCCGCGGGGUGGUAGAAGGUGGUUUGAAGAACACUCCUUGGUGGUCCUAAUUGCUGCACGUGAGGUCAAGGCAGGGCCGCCCAUCCCAGGCAGAUGAGCUCCAGGAGCCUUCCUCGUGCCUGAGAAGACGGCAAGGAGAAAACACUGCCGGCUGGAAGCCCUCGAGAAUCUCGAAGAAGCCCAGAAUGAAAGGACCAGGCGGCCGGGACUCGGAGCUCCCUAGCCAGGGCGCGCGCAGCCAGGCCUGACGCUUCCCUCCGCCCUCGGCGGCCUCUGCGUCCUCCCAGCACCCGGCAGCCUUGCCAGGGGUCCCGGAUGCCCAGAGCACCCCCCAAGGAGGAGAGAGAAGAGAGGGAGUCCAGGAUGAGAAGACGGGGGGCCAGGGUGGGAGGGGACACUCCUCUUCCCUGGCCGUCCCUAGAAGUCACACACAGACAUUCACUCAAAAAGACACGCAUGCAGAUGCGCACACACAGACACAGGCGCAAUCAUGUAAACGGACACACAGAGACCACAGACGCUCGUGCUCAUACACGCGCUCUCGCUCUUCACACCCUGCACCAGGUGGGCACUCACCCGCCCGCACCCUGGCUGUGCUUUCACAGAUCCCGGGAGAGGGCGGAGCCCGGGCCGGGGGCUGGAGACCGCCCCCGGCCCCGCCCCCACGCCCUCCCAUCUCUCCCUCCUUCCUGCCGUCCCCCGCCUGAGGGAGGGGAGCGGUGCAGCAGACAUCCGAGGGCAGCUGGGACCCCCUGACUCAGCCGACGGUGCUCUCAUCUCUUGCUCUGGGGUAAGCCAGUGGCCAUGCUAUAAGGACACUCAAGCCACCCUAUGAAGAAGCCCACAUGAAGAGGAACUGAGAUAUCUGGCCAACAGCCAGCCAGUCACUGAGCCUGCCAACCACGCUGUGGCAGGUACCUCCAGCCCCAGACACCUGCAGCCUCCACUGAAAGCUCAAUGGCAGCCUCAUGAGACCCUGGACCGGAACCACCCAACGAAGCGGCUCCUGUAUUCCUGAUUGACAGAAACUACGGGAUCAUAAAUGCUUGCUGUUCAGUCUGCCAAGUGUUGGCGUGAUUUGUUAAACAGCAACCAGUAACUAAUACGCCACCCAUGGCUGCCGCGUUCCUGCUGUGGGGCCAGCACUAUUCCAUGCUUAGAGGCUCCAUCAAUACCUGUGAUGGACUAAAUGACAGGGUCUCACUUUUUCACUCAGGCUGGAAUGCAGUGGCACCAUCUUGGCUCAGUGCAGCCUUGACCACCCUGGUUCAAGCGAUCCUCCUGCCUCAUCUCCUCAAGUAGCUAGGUCUGCAGACAUACGCCACCACACCUGGCUAAUUUUUGUAUUUUAGUAGAGACGGGGUUUCACCAUGUUGGCCAGGCUGGUCUUGAACUCCUGACCUCAAGUGAUCUGCCUGCCUCCGCCUCCCAAAGUGCUGGGAUUACAGGCGUGAGCCACCGCACCUGGUCUGCUGCUGCAAUCUUAAGAUGGCCAUAUAAUAUCUCUUAAAACUACAAAUUCCACUUUCCUUCUUCUGUCCUGACCUCAACUUAAUCACAAACAAACAACCUCCCUCCCAAAACACACACACACACUCAUGGCAGUCCCCCCGUCAAGUGUCAGCUAUGUGGUAGUUCGCCCCAUUCUCCUGGGGUGAGAUCUGCAGCUGGCUCUCUGCCCAGGCACUCGGCACUCAGGCCCUCCUUCCCUACCCGGCUGUCAGCUUAGGGGUCCUCCUCCACCUAUCCUCGUGAGAUCUGCAGACAACCCUGUAAGCUCUGAACCAAAGAGGAAGAAAUCCUGGGGAUGACAUAGAGGGCUCUGGACACCUCAUCCCACCAGUCAUUGUCCUGGUCACACUCUCUCCUUGGCAGGGGGCCCGUGACAAUGCUUCCAUUCUCAGAGCAGGUCUCUGGGCCACUCCUGCCCCUGGAGCCUCUGGGAUCGGUUCAGACUCUGUCCCAUAGCACAGCCUCUUCAUCUUUCAACAGGCUCAUCUUCAAGGCUACAGCGGCCAGCCCCCAUGACUAGGCACCUGAUGUCCAUUUUCUCAUUAAACAUUGUGACAAGCCCCGAAGGCAGCCAUUCAGUUUUAUGAAUGAGGAAAGUGGGACUCAAGGAGGUGACGGGGAAGGAAGUGGGUUUAGGUUUAUUCUGGAGCCUGCUCUUUACCACCGUACCACUGCCUCUCCCAGGCCAGUGCACUGGAGCCAGAUGGUAUCAACUGCCAGCUCAAGGACACCUAGGUCAACUUCCCAAAAGAGGCCUAGGGGUUGGGCAAGGAGGCCAUUGAGAUUGUAGAGGCCAGGCCUUGCUUGCCCCUGGCAUUGGGGAGAAUGGGCACCACCCCAGGCCAACUGGGGAAGGGCCAGGCACCAGAGCUGCGUCCUUCUGCCCACUCUUGCUGUAGAGGAUCAGAGUCCAAGACGCCAACUCCAUCAGACACAAGGACCUUCAAGAGCAAGGAACUAGGCUGGGCACGGUGGCUUACGCACUAUGGGGGGCUGAGGCGGGAGGAUCACUUGAGCCCAGGAGUUUGAGACCAGCCUGGGCAACUUAGCAAGACCCCAUAUCUACAAAAAAUCUAAAAAUUAGCUUGGUGUGGCUGGGUGCGGUGGCUCACACCUCUAAUCCCAGCACUUUGGGAUGCCAAGGCAGGUGGAUCACGAGGUCAGGAGUUCAGGACCAGCCUGGCCAACAUGGUGAAACCCCAUGUAUAGUAAAAAUACAAAAAUUAGCUGGGCAUGGUGGUGGGCACCUGCAAUCCCAGCUAUUCGGGAGGCUGAGGCAGGAGAAUCGCUUGAACCCGGGAGGUAGAGGUUGCAGUGGGCCGAGACUGUGCCAUUGCACUCCAGCCUGGGGGACAAGAGCAAGACUUCGUCUCAAAAAAAAAAAAAAAAAUUAGCUUGGUGUGGCGGUGCACACAGUAGUCCUAACUGCUCAGGAGGCUGAGGCAGGAGGAUUGCUUGAGCCCAAGAGGUUGAGGUUGCAGUAAACUAUGAUCGCAGCACUGCACUCCAGACUGGGUGACACAGCGAGACCCUGUUUCUAAAAAAAGGAAAAAACAAAACAAAAACAAACAAGGAACUCUGCCUGGAAGUCCAACUAAGUCCUGGGAAGGUGGGGACGGGGGGUGGGGGUGAGGGGACAAGUGAAAAAGAGCCAGGAAGCCCCUCCUGCAUAGCCGCCUGACUCCCAGAGGCCUCCUGAGUCCUCCUCCCUGGGAUCUGGACUCCCCUCCCCCAACCCAGCACUUCUUCCUGGGAACAAGCCCGUGUUUGGAGGCAGCAUGGUGCAGGGUUAGGAGCAGCCUCUGCCACUUUCUGGCUGGGUAAGACUUAGGUAAGUUACUUCCCCUUUCUGUGCCUCAGUUUCCCCAUCUGUAAAGUGGGAAUCACAGUAGUACUUACCAAACAGGGUUGUCUUUUUU